ACGACUACACUCCUACGGGGGGCAGCAGUGGGGAAUUUUGGACAAUGGGGGCAACCCUGAUCCAGCAAUGCCGCGUGAGUGAAGAAGGCCUUCGGGUUGUAAAGCUCUUUUGUCAGGGAAGAAACGGGAGUAGCUAAUAUCUAUUACUAAUGACGGUACCUGAAGAAUAAGCACCGGCUAACUACGUGCCAGCAGCCGCGGUAAUACGUAGGGUGCAAGCGUUAAUCGGAAUUACUGGGCGUAAAGCGUGCGCAGGCGGUUGGGUAAGUCAGAUGUGAAAUCCCCGGGCUCAACCUGGGAAUUGCAUUUGAGACUGCACGGCUAGAGUGUGUCAGAGGGGGGGUAGAAUUCCACGUGUAGCAGUGAAAUGCGUAGAUAUGUGGAGGAAUACCGAUGGCGAAGGCAGCCCCCUGGGAUAACACUGACGCUCGUGCACGAAAGCGUGGGGAGCAAACAGGAUUAGAAACCCGAGUAGUCCACCAAUCC
rnacentral:rRNA from 1 species